CUACUUACCUGGCAGGGGAGAUAUGGUGAUCAGAAGAUGGUUUUCCCAGGGUGAGGCUCGUCAACUGCACUCCAGAUCUGCUGACCCCUGUGAUUUCCCCAAAUGCUGCAAAAUCCACUGCAUAGUUUGUGGUAGUGGGGGACUCCAUUUGCACCUCCCCU